AGGACAAACGCUGGCGGCGUGUAUUAGGCAUGCAAGUCGCACGGACACUUCGGUGUCAGUGGCGGACGGGUGAGUAACACGUGGGUAACCUGCCCUACAGUGGGAAUAACUCGCCGAAAGGCGAGCUAAUACCGCAUUCGACUUCCGGUGAGAAUCCGGAUAGUGAAAGCAGUAAUGCGCUGAAGGAGGGCCCGCGGCCGAUUAGCUUGUUGGUGGGUAAUAGCCUACCAAGGCGACGAUCGGUAGCU
rnacentral:rRNA from 1 species